GCGAGAGUGGUGGAAUGGCAGACACGCUAGCUUGAGGUGCUAGUGGAAGAUUUUUCCGUGGGGGUUCAAGUCCCCCCUCUCGCA
rnacentral:tRNA from 1 species